rnacentral:rRNA from 1 species
GACGAACGCUGGCGGCGUGCUUAACACAUGCAAGUCGAACGGAAAGGCCCUGCUUUUGUGGGGUGCUCGAGUGGCGAACGGGUGAGUAACACGUGAGUAACCUGCCCUUGACUUUGGGAUAACUUCAGGAAACUGGGGCUAAUACCGGAUAGGAGCUCCUGCUGCAUGGUGGGGGUUGGAAAGUUUCGGCGGUUGGGGAUGGACUCGCGGCUUAUCAGCUUGUUGGUGGGGUAGUGGCUUACCAAGGCUUUGACGGGUAGCCGGCCUGAGAGGGUGACCGGCCACAUUGGGACUGAGAUACGGCCCAGACUCCUACGGGAGGCAGCAGUGGGGAAUAUUGCACAAUGGGCGGAAGCCUGAUGCAGCAACGCCGCGUGCGGGAUGACGGCCUUCGGGUUGUAACCCGCUUUCGCCUGUGACGAAGCGUGAGUGACGGUAAUGGGUAAAGAAGCACCGGCUAACUACGUGCCAGCAGCCGCGGUGAUACGUAGGGUGCGAGCGUUGUCCGGAUUUAUUGGGCGUAAAGGGCUCGUAGGUGGUUGAUCGCGUCGGAAGUGUAAUCUUGGGGCUUAACCCUGAGCGUGCUUUCGAUACGGGUUGACUUGAGGAAGGUAGGGGAGAAUGGAAUUCCUGGUGGAGCGGUGGAAUGCGCAGAUAUCAGGAGGAACACCAGUGGCGAAGGCGGUUCUCUGGGCCUUUCCGGACGCUGAGGAGCGAAAGCGUGGGGAGCGAACAGGCUUAGAUACCCUGGUAGUCCACGCUGUAAACGGUGGGUACUAGGUGUGGGGUCCAUUCCACGGGUUCCGUGCCGUAGCUAACGCUUUAAGUACCCCGCCUGGGGAGUACGGCCGCAAGGCUAAAACUCAAAGGAAUUGACGGGGCCCCGCACAAGCGGCGGAGCAUGCGGAUUAAUUCGAUGCAACGCGUAGAACCUUACCUGGGUUUGACAUGGAUCGGGAGCGCUCAGAGAUGGGUGUGCCUCUUUUGGGGUCGGUUCACAGGUGGUGCAUGGCUGUCGUCAGCUCGUGUCGUGAGAUGUUGGGUUAAGUCCCGCAACGAGCGCAACCCUUGUUCACUGUUGCCAGCACGUUAUGGUGGGGACUCAGUGGAGACCGCCGGGGUCAACUCGGAGGAAGGUGGGGAUGACGUCAAGUCAUCAUGCCCCUUAUGUCCAGGGCUUCACGCAUGCUACAAUGGCUGGUACAGAGAGUGGCGAGCCUGUGAGGGUGAGCGAAUCUCGGAAAGCCGGUCUCAGUUCGGAUUGGGGUCUGCAACUCGACCUCAUGAAGUCGGAGUCGCUAGUAAUCGCAGAUCAGCAACGCUGCGGUGAAUACGUUCCCGGG